rnacentral:rRNA from 1 species
UACAGAGGGGGCAAGCGUUGUUCGGAAUUACUGGGCGUAAAGGGCGCGUAGGCGGCCUCCUAAGUCGAAUGUGAAAUCCCUGGGCUCAACCCCGGAACUGCGUCCGAUACUGGGAGACUUGAAUCCGGGAGAGGGAUGCGGAAUUCCAGGUGUAGCGGUGAAAUGCGUAGAUAUCAGGAGGAACACCGGUGGCGAAGGCGGGUCUCUGGGCAGUAACUGACGCUGAGGAGCGAAAGCGUGGGGAGCGAACAGG